UACGAAGGGGGCUAGCGUUGUUCGGAAUCACUGGGCGUAAAGAGCACGUAGGCGGACUUGUUAGUCAGGGGUGAAAUCCCACGGCUCAACCGUGGAACUGCUGGGUAUACUGGCGAUCUUGAGCCACCUAGGGGCGAGCGGAACAAGCGGUGGAGCGGUGAAAUGCGUAGAUAUCGCUUGGAACGCCAACGGUGAAAACAGCUCGCUGGGGGUGUGCUGACGCUGAGACACGAAAGCCAGGGGAGCGAACGGG
rnacentral:rRNA from 1 species